CAAUCCGGGAACCAGCAGAGGUGCUGCAUGGCUGUCGUCAGCUCGUGUCGUGAGAUGUUGGGUUAAGUCCCGCAACGAGCGCAACCCUUGCCCUUAGUUGCCAGCGGGUAAUGCCGGGCACUCUAAGGGGACUGCCCCGGAUAACGGGGAGGAAGGCGGGGAUGACGUCAAGUCAGCAUGGCCUUUAUGUCCAGGGCUACACACGUGCUACAAUGGGCGGUACAGAGGGAAGCAAAGCCGCGAGGUGGAGCUAAUCCUUAAAGCCGUCCUCAGUUCGGAUCGCAGGCUGCAACUCGCCUGCGUGAAGUCGGAAUCGCUAGUAAUCGCGGAUCAGCUACGCCGCGGUGAAUACGUUCUCGGGCCUU
rnacentral:rRNA from 1 species